rnacentral:rRNA from 1 species
UACGAAGGGGACUAGCGUUGCUCGGAAUCACUGGGCGUAAAGCGCACGUAGGCGGCUUUUUAAGUCAGGGGUGAAAUCCUGGAGCUCAACUCCAGAACUGCCUUUGAUACUGAGAAGCUUGAGUCCGGGAGAGGUGAGUGGAACUGCGAGUGUAGAGGUGAAAUUCGUAGAUAUUCGCAAGAACACCAGUGGCGAAGGCGGCUCACUGGCCCGGUACUGACGCUGAGGUGCGAAAGCGUGGGGAGCAAACAGG